rnacentral:rRNA from 1 species
AUUGAACGCUGGCGGCAGGCCUAACACAUGCAAGUCGAGCGGAUGACGGGAGCUUGCUCCUUGAUUCAGCGGCGGACGGGUGAGUAAUGCCUAGGAAUCUGCCUGGUAGUGGGGGACAACGUUUCGAAAGGAACGCUAAUACCGCAUACGUCCUACGGGAGAAAGCAGGGGACCUUCGGGCCUUGCGCUAUCAGAUGAGCCUAGGUCGGAUUAGCUAGUUGGUGGGGUAAUGGCUCACCAAGGCGACGAUCCGUAACUGGUCUGAGAGGAUGAUCAGUCACACUGGAACUGAGACACGGUCCAGACUCCUACGGGAGGCAGCAGUGGGGAAUAUUGGACAAUGGGCGAAAGCCUGAUCCAGCCAUGCCGCGUGUGUGAAGAAGGUCUUCGGAUUGUAAAGCACUUUAAGUUGGGAGGAAGGGCAGUAAGUUAAUACCUUGCUGUUUUGACGUUACCGACAGAAUAAGCACCGGCUAACUCUGUGCCAGCCGCCGCCGUAAGAC